UACAGGGGGUGCAAACGUUGUUCGGAUUUACUGGGCGUAAAGCGUGUGUAGGCGGCUUUGCAAGUCGGAUGUGAAAUCCCACGGCUCAACCGUGGAAGUGCAUCCGAAACGGCAUCGCUUGAGUCUCGGAGAGGAAGGUGGAAUGCUUGGUGUAGAGGUGAAAUUCGUAGAUAUCAAGCAGAACACCUGCGGCGAAGGCGGCCUUCUGGACGAUGACUGACGCUGAGACACGAAAGCGUGGGGAGCAAACAGG
rnacentral:rRNA from 1 species